rnacentral:rRNA from 1 species
UGCCCAGAAGCGGGGGACAACAUUUGGAAACAGAUGCUAAUACCGCAUAACAGCGUUGUUCGCAUGAACACCGCUUAAAAGAUGGCUUCUCGCUAUCACUUCUGGAUGGACCUGCGGUGCAUUAGCUUGUUGGUGGGGUAAUGGCCUACCAAGGCGAUGAUGCAUAGCCGAGUUGAGAGACUGAUCGGCCACAAUGGGACUGAGACACGGCCCAUACUCCUACGGGAGGCAGCAGUAGGGAAUCUUCCACAAUGGGCGCAAGCCUGAUGGAGCAACACCGCGUGAGUGAAGAAGGGUUUCGGCUCGUAAAGCUCUGUUGUUAAAGAAGAACACGUAUGAGAGUAACUGUUCAUACGUUGACGGUAUUUAACCAGAAAGUCACGGCUAACUACGUGCCAGCAGCCGCGGUAAUACGUAGGUGGCAAGCGUUAUCCGGAUUUAUUGGGCGUAAAGAGAGUGCAGGCGGUUUUCUAAGUCUGAUGUGAAAGCCUUCGGCUUAACCGGAGAAGUGCAUCGGAAACUGGAUAACUUGAGUGCAGAAGAGGGUAGUGGAACUCCAUGUGUAGCGGUGGAAUGCGUAGAUAUAUGGAAGAACACCAGUGGCGAAGGCGGCUACCUGGUCUGCAACUGACGCUGAGACUCGAAAGCAUGGGUAGCGA